ACAGUUACAGUUGUAGUUCGGUAGUAUUUGUGCAGGCAAAUCUAGCAGAAAGUUCGCUUUCUUCUGUCAGAUCAACAAAGAAAAAAAUUGAAAGUGCGCAAAACAUCGAUUGCGAGUGAAUAUUUCUCUUCCAUUUAAAGAUGAAAAAUGUAUCGCUCACAAUUCGAACGGGUCAAGAGACCGGUGCCAAGAGAUGUGCCUUUACACAGUGUUCUACAUGUUCUUUUGUUUCAAUACGAGGUUAACAUGCAGCAACAACCGAUGGUUAUGUUUCUUCCGCAAGUCCUGUUCUCCAAAGUUCUCUAUUCUCCAGUACAAACCAAGCUACAAAUUAGGCACUGAAGCUUAUAAACGCCAACUAUGUUUGUGUUAUAAAUGUAUAUAUAAAAUGUAUGUUAAUUAUAAUUAUUAAUAAUAAAUGCAUUUACUGCACUAAAACUCUGUUCA